ACCAGACUCGGUGGCGCGUGCCUGUAGUCCCAGCUGCUUGGGAGGCUGAGGCUGGAGGAUCGCUUGAAUCCAGGAGUUCUGAGCUGUAGUGCGCUAUGCAGAUCGGGUGUCUGCACUAAGUUUGGCAGCAAUAUGGAGACAUCCUGGGAUCAGGGGACCACCAGGUUGCCUAAGGAGGGGUGAACCGGCCCAGGUCAGAAACGGAGCAGGUCAAAACACCCGUGCUGAUUAGUAGUGGGAUCACACCUGUGAAUAGCCACUGCAGUCCAGCCUGGGCAACAUAGCGAGAUCUGUCUCU
rnacentral:SRP_RNA from 1 species